GGGGAUGUAGCUCAGUGGUAGAGCAGUUGCCUAGCAUCUGCAAGGUCCUGAGUUCAAUUCCUAGCACUACCA
rnacentral:tRNA from 1 species